CUCCCAACCGUAGAAUAAAAAAUGAGAAUCCUCCAUCCUUUACUAACAAAAGAGAGAGAUAUCUCCAUCCUUCUCCUUGUUAUGGGCUGUAGUAGGUGGUGGCCAUGCCUAUCUCUUUCACCUGUACACUUAAAUAAACUUGCACACUGUUACAAUUCUAAGUAUCGAAGAACUGAUGUGAUUGGUCAAAUUUACACAAAGAAAAAUAAUAGCUUUUAUGAAUGAAAGAGAAAUGUGUUUAUACCACGUGUGUAAGAUUGUUUUGAAUUUGUUGCCUCGUGCCUGCGCCGCCAUUGUAAUUUUACUGCGAAAGAUUGGUUUUGACUUUUCAAUAAUUGAAAUCAUUGAAAUUCGCAUGAGCGCCGCUGGAAUUACUAAUAAUAAGGAUAAAUCUUUCUUGUUAAUUAAUUAUCUUCACUAUUUAAAUAAAUUUUGAUUAAUAAAAAGAUAUACAAUGUAGUUCGAUUCGUGCUUGGUUAUUGAUAAAAGUAAUUUUGUUUUAAAUUAAAAAUGAGGCAAUGUGUUAUUCCCAAGUGUAAAACGCGAUCAAAUUACGUGCUGUACCUUUUACUGAUAGUGAUAACACUAGAUGGGAGGCAUGGUUCAUCAAUUGUCCAAUAUUACGGAAAUAUACUCGUAGGCAGUUAGAAAACGUUAAAAUUUGUGAAAACCACUUUCUACCCAGAAAAAAGACCUACUUAUUGGUAAUCAACGUGCACAGUGGUCCAUCAUUGAGGAGCUCUAUGCUACAGAUGGUGAAGCCGGACGUGCAAGAACCACAACCCUGACGGAUAAACACAUUAGACCAACUUCUUAUGACAAGAUGAA